UAUUCAGCCGGCGAGGGAGCUCCACUUUUGUAGUCCUAAGAGGUCAGCUUCCUGGAGGAGGGCACAGAGCAGAUCAGAGAAAGAGAGACGCCUGGAUUCAGACACACUGCCACUGUCUAGUGGUGCUGAGUCCCCAGACUGAAGUCUGUCUGUUCCAGCUGUAGAGGAGAGGGCAAGUUGUCCCUCAGCCCCAGACCAGGGCAGGAGCCGGCAGAGAUACCGCUUGGGCUGCUGAGAGCAUCCUGUGGAUACCCAUCACCCACCCUGGCUGGGAGUCGUACUCAGCUCUCCCUGGGGCCCCCUGAGUCAGGGGAAAAGCAAAAGGAGGAAAGGAAAAUCAGAAGAUAACAGAGGCGAAUGCUCAAGAACUCCACCGCAAGCCUCUGACUCGUGCAUUGGGGCAGCCAGCCGGGCAGGGGGCUGCUGCAUCCGCCCUGUGGUGGGACCCACGGAUGUCUUUGCUGCCUCUAGAGCCCAAGACAGGCCCACCAGGCCCUGAUCAGAGAUUCUAGGUGGUUCUCCACAGCUGCCUCUGGCUUGUUCCAAAUUUGAACUCCAGGGAAGUUCUGCCUCUGUGAUCUGGAAGGCACCUUCCCUGUCCCAUGCCUGUUCCACAGGGAACCUCUGCUCCACUCUCCGUGCUCUGGAGAAGUGUCUCUGGAUAAGAGAGAUACUGAAAGGUGCCUCAGGCUCAGUGCGCACGCUCUCUCCGAACUCGUGUAACAGUCCUGAUUAGUCCAGGGAGCUGACACCUCAUGGCUGUCCCCAGCUCGUGUCUCUGCAUCCUCCUUCCCGGAACCUCUGCAUACUGUGAGUCGCAACAACAUCGCUGGUAGGACUGAACCUAAUUCUGGCCCUUCUUUACCCCACCACUGACACCUGCUCUUUUAGCCUGUUUCCUGGAGUGGUGGUAGAGGAGGCACCGCAAUUUUUCUUUAUCUUUUAUUAAAUAUGUGGAUUCUUUAGGUAUAACUGAUCUACAGCAUUAAAUUUGUUUUAGGUGUAUAAAUAACAUAAUGAUGCAAUAUUUGUUGUCUAUUGUGAAAUGGUCACCACAAGAAGUCUAGUUAGCAUCUAUCACCAUGGACAGUUAAACAUUUUUUUUCUUCUGAUGGCAACUUUCGUGAUCCACUCUUUCAGCGACUUUCAAAUACGCAAUACAGUAUUAUUAACCAGAGUCACCAUGCUGCACACUACCUCCCCAUGACUUAUUUAUAACUUGAAGUUUGUACCUAUUGAUCCCUUCAUGCAUUCCACUCACCCCUGAUCCCCUGUUUCUGGCAACCACUCAUCUGUUUU